UCCCGAGCGUUNUCCGGAUUUAUUGGGCGUAAAGGGAGCGCAGGCGNUCAGGAAAGUCUGGAGUAAAAGGCUAUGGCUCAACCAUAGUGUGCUCUGGAAACUGUNUGACUUGAGUGCAGAAGGGGAGAGUGGAAUUCCAUGUGUAGCGGUGAAAUGCGUAGAUAUAUGGAGGAACACCAGUGGCGAAAGCGGCUCUCUGGUCUGUCACUGACGCUGAGGCUCGAAAGCGUGGGUAGCGAACAGGAUUAGAUACCCUGGUAGUCCACGCCGUAAACGAUGAGUGCUAGGUGUUAGGCCCUUUCCGGGGCUUAGUGCCGGAGCUAACGCAAUAAGCACUCCGCCUGGGGAGUACGACCGCAAGGUUGAAGCUCAAAGGAAUUGACGGGGGCCCGCACAAGCGGUGGAGCAUGUGGUUUAAUUCGAAGCAACGCGAAGAACCUUACCAGGUCUUGACAUCCCGAUGCUAUUCUUAGAGAUAGGAAGUUACUUCGGUACAUCGGAGACAGGUGGUGCAUGGUUGUCGUCAGCUCGUGUCGUGAGAUGUUGGGUUAAGUCCCGCAACGAGCGCAACCCUUAUUGUUAGUUGCCAUCAUUAAGUUGGGCACUCUAGCGAGACUGCCGGUGAUAAACCGGAGGAAGGUGGGGAUGACGUCAAAUCAUCAUGCCCCUUAUGACCUGGGCUACACACGUGCUACAAU
rnacentral:rRNA from 1 species